CGAAGAACCUUACCAGGCCUUGACAUGCAGAGAACUUUCCAGAGAUGGAUUGGUGCCUUCGGGAACUCUGACACAGGUGCUGCAUGGCUGUCGUCAGCUCGUGUCGUGAGACGUUGGGUUAAGUCCGUAACGAGCGCAACCCUUGUCCUUAGUUACCAGCACGUUAUGGUGGGCACUCUAAGGAGACUGCCGGUGACAAACCGGAGGAAGGUGGGGAUGACGUCAAGUCAUCAUGGCCCUUACGGCCUGGGCUACACACGUGCUACAAUGGUCGGUACAAAGGGUUGCCAAGCCGCGAGGUGGAGCUAAUCCCAUAAAACCGAUCGUAGUCCGGAUCGCAGUCUGCAACUCGACUGCGUGAAGUCGGAAUCGCUAGUAAUCGUGAAUCAGAAUGUCACGGUGAAUACGUUCCCGGGCCUU
rnacentral:rRNA from 1 species